rnacentral:lncRNA from 1 species
CAGCAAGUGGUUACAAGCAUUGGGAAACAUGAGGUGCUUGAUAAACCUGAAAUUCCUGAUCUCAUUCCAGACCAGAAGAAUCUGUCCUGGGAUAUGGGGGAAGGGGAGAGAUGAAGGAAACUGCAUGUUUAGCAAACACCACAGGAUGGCCUCAAACUCACUCGGUGGUCUUGAGCAAGCUGCUUACCUGCUCUGCAUUUUGAUGUUUUUUUCUAUAACGCGGAAAAUAAGCAGAGCACCCUGUGCGGGGUUGCUGAAAGGAUAAAAUGAGUAUGCAAACACCUUGGACAGAAUCACUCUAUCGAACAUGCUUAUAUUCCUCCUUUCUGAUGCACUGAACACCUCUGGUUGCUGAGUUGUAAGACAGAAAUGAGACUAAAUACCUGCUUAACUUAACUAAAUACCUGCUUAACUUAACUAAAUACCUGCUUAACUUAACUAAAUACCUGCUUAACUAAAUACCUGCUUAACAAACCUCAGAUAUUGCAAGAACUUAAUAUUUCAGAAACAUUCACUUAGAAAUAUGCUUUUAUGAAGUAAAAUUAUUUACAAAUAACUAAAAUUAUGAGUACCUUGGGGAAAAGUGUAUUUCAUAACCAGAAAAAUCACUUCCCCUAAGUUUAUCUGCCUCAUAUUUUACCAGUUUCAUGAUGUCGUAAAAAUUAUUUCUACAUGUAAGCAUACAUAGAUUAAAUAUGAUAUUCUAUUUAUUAUAUUUAGAAAAUGAUCGUAUUCUCUUUCUCUUUGUUAAAGGCCAACUCAUUCCCUUCACUUCCCACAUUUUUUUUAAACAGAAGUUUCCAAUCAAGCCAUUUAUUUCUAGAAUGUUACCGGCAUCACCUAUAAACAGGAGCCAUCUACUGUCAUGUUUAAUAUUGCUUGUGUUUCAUAAAUUGCUUGUAUUUCAUUACUGCUUGUAUUUCAUAAAUUGGUGCAAAUACUCAGAACUUGCAAAAAUAAUUACCAUUCAAAACCAAGAAAUAAAGAAAUAAUGAUAUGCUUGUUUGUAGUAUUAUGACUAAAUACAAAUUUACUGGAAAGCUCUGCUCAUAAACUCCAUUUUCUUUCUGAGAAGCUGGCUUCACAAAUUGGAAAAUAAUACUUUUAUGCAUAUAUUUUCUCAUUCAACAAAUAUUUGUAGAAAGCCUGCCCUGCUGUGUGCCAGGCACUGUGUUAGGCCUGAUACAAUGAUAAACAGGAGAGGGGAUACAAUAACGAAUAGGAGAGUUGUGACCUCUGCCCUCAGGAACAGGGCACUUGUGGUGCAGACAGAUAAGUAAACACACUGCCAUGUGUGAGGAGCGCCAGGGCAGGGAAAGGGGAAUGUGCCCUGGGAGCACACACCAGGAACCCCAGACCCACACUUCAUGGUUGCAGGUAGGGAAGGUUCGCUGGUGGGAAUGACCUUUAAGCUAUUCUCUGAAGGAUAAGGAUUACCAAGUAAAGGGGGAGAUUGGAGUGGCGGAAAGGAUAGAGAGUGUUUCCAAAAGAGGAAACAGCAUCCAUGAAGGUAUACAGGAGAGAGACAAUGGUAUAUUUAAGAAACUGAGAGAAGGUUCAUUUGGCAUGAAGCCAGCAUGGAGUUCAAGGUGGAGAGUACCAGGAGAUAAGAAUAAAGAACUAAAGAAGAUCCAGCUUGUACAGAGUUAUGCUAGUAGUACUUAAAAAUUGGGCUUUUAUCUAAGGACAAUGAGUUCCAACAAGAAUAGUAACAUAACAGGUUAGGGAGGUUCAUUUAGAAACCACUGACAUCCACUAGAAUAUGCAGAGGCUUCCUAACACUGUCUGGCAUUCUUCUCUGCUGGAACUCUUUGUUAGAAUACAUGGACAUGGUCACUGCAGCCAUGUAACAGGUUAAAAUGAAAAGCACCUUUGUCGACGUCUCUUUUUCCAAACAAAUAUUGACUUCAGCAAAAGAGGUUUCAUCACCUUCUGCCCACCUGUGUCUUCUCCCACUAUUGCACAUCUUUGGCCACAUCUAUUAUCUACCUGUCUCCGGAGACACUCUCCUCUCUGC